AGCAGCCGCGGUAAUUCCAGCUCCAAUAGCGUAUAUUAAAGUUGUUGCAGUUAAAAAGCUCGUAGUUGAAUUUCGGGAUUAGUACGCUGGUCAUGCCUUUGGUAUGUACUGGUGUUACUGGUUCCUACCUUCUGAAGAACCGUUAUGUCAUUAAUUUGGUGUGGCGGGGAAUCAGGACUGUUACUUUGAAAAAAUUAGAGUGUUUAAAGCAGGCUCGCGCUUGAAUACAUUAGCAUGGAAUAAUGAAAUAGGACGUUGAUCCUAUUUUGUUGGUUUCUAGGAUUGACGUAAUGAUUAAUAGGGAUAGUUGGGGGCAUUAGUAUUCAAUUGUCAGAGGUGAAAUUCUUGGAUUUAUUGAAGACUAACUACUGCGAAAGCAUUUGCCAAGGAUGUUUUCAUUAAUCAAGAACGAAAGUUAGGGGAUCGAAGACGAUCAGAUACCGUCGUAGUCUUAACCAUAAACUAUGCCGACUAGGGAUCGGAUGAUGUUAAUUUUUAAUGACUCAUUCGGCGCCUUAAC
rnacentral:rRNA from 1 species